UCUCAGGCAGCACCAAGGGCAAGCUGGCUUGGCUGGAGGCCACCCUGCAGCAGGUUAAGCAGGACAUGGCGCGGCAGCUAAGUGAGUACCAGAAGCUCAUGAUCAUCAAGCUGGGCCUGGACUUUGAGAUCACCACCUACUGCAAGCUGCUGGAGGUCAAAGAGAGCAGGCGGGUUGCAGGCCUGGUCUGGGAUUUGGAGCAGGGAGAGGCAGUGGGGAGAAUCUGCGUGUCUGACUUGGAGGAAGGGGUCUGCUGCUAGUCUGCGGAGUUUGCACGUCAGUUUUCUAAUGGGCGGGGAGGGUCUGUGAGUCUGCCCCUUGGAGCAGGAGUCUGUAUGUCUGUUUUCUGGGACGCAGGAGGAGCGGGGUGUCUCCUUCCAACAGCAGCCCUCCGCUCAGUCCUGGGUAGCCCUCCCACCUGCGAGCCCAGCUCAACCUCCAGGCCUGCCCGCCUGGGGCCGUCUGGAGCGGGCUCCUGAGCCCUGGAGACGAGCGCCCCUGGCGGCCGCUGCGCGCUCUGCGGCUCUGCCGGCUUUGCCGGGUCGUCAUCAGCAGCCGUUCCCGCGGAUGUUGGAGCCUUCCUGUCCCGCUCUGGAUAAGUCAAAGAACCCUAGCUUCUGCCGCAGAGACUUGGCCCUGCGUCUCAGACGCCCGCCCUCUCCCAUGAACUGGCCCUCACCUCAUCUCUGCCUCUUACCGCCCACCCCAGAACGUAGUCUUGGAAUAGUUUACUGGACCGUGACAGACCCCUUCCCAGUGCGGAGACGGCUUGGGUGCUGUGCCACUGGGGAGGAAUUGUGGACUACCUGGAUCCAGCACCCUGCCCUUCCGAACCGUCCCCUUCCUGCUCUUCCUGGGACUCAUCCUUUUGCAAUACGAAGUUCUGCAGCAGACCGAGCUGGCAGGCUGUUUGCCGCCUGGAUUCCAUUCCUCUAGCUAUGCCCUGAGCAGUCACAAAGCUGAUGAAUUUGGGGGUGGGGGAGGGAGGGAGAGACACUGCCAGGAAGCAGCCCUCCCCUGGUGGUGUGUGGGUCCACAUGGCUUCAACUCGUGGUGGUAUAGAACCAGGAUCUAAGGGUCAGGGUGGUGGUAUCCGCGGACCCUUGGUGAAAGGGAAAGAAGGGGUUAAUUCAUGCAGCCAGUCUGCUUACCCCCCAGCCUGGGGUGCUGAGUGUUCCCUGAGGGUCAGGGAGAGUGCUUGGUGAGCAAGAUGCUCUCCUCCUGGCCCAAUGGAGAUGAUGUUCUGGGAGGGAAGCAGGCUAUAAACAAGGAAACAGACCAGAAAGAAAACAGGACAAGAUGGGGAUGAGGGUUAGCCACCCUCUGUUACCCUGGCAGGAGCACUCAAGUGCAGGCCCUGGGGGUGAUGGCCCUCACAGACUGGGGCUGGGUAUGAACACAAUCAGGUGGCCUAGGCCUGGAUUCUAGCUUAACAAAUGAUCUGUUGGUGGGUUGGGAACAACGUACCGUGGUGGGUGAGUUCAUGUGUUUGGAAUCAGACCCAGGUUCUAACUCUAUGCCUACUUCCAGCACUGCGGUGUAGUUUGGUCUGAGGUUCCAAAGGCAACUGACUUAGGGGUGCAGAAGAUAGGCCAGUUUGGGGGGUGGGGUGGCCAGAGAACGGCUGGGUUUCUGGGUGCUUUCCUUGCCAUAGUGGCCUCAGAGGAGCUACGAUUCAGUGAACUCACAUUCUUUUCCAUUGCACAAAGGAUUACCUCAUCAAGGCACUGGGGAACAAUGGUUCCUGCUAUGUCCCUGGGUGGGGCCAAGGUGCGUCACUGGCCAGAGGCCCUGGUUUUACCUUUUAAGGUAUGCUAGUGCCAGGGUGUCUGCUUGAUUCUCUGGGUUGCUGCCUGGAGAACAGACAUCCAAAGGGCUCCUCCGUGGGUAAACAGAGCAGCCUCAGGCAAGAGGAAUGGGACCCAAACUUGUCUGGCAGGUUGCCACCCACCUGAGAGGUAGGGGACAUGCCCCACUGGGCUCGUGCAUCAGCCCCAUUUAAUCAAUACUGACAGACACCAACCAUAUAAAUAUUUUUACUAACACUCCCAAUGCAAAGCAGCUGUCUGAAAGCAGAGUUGUGUCUCCAUUUUGCUAGGAGGACAUUCUCUGAUGUUCAAGGUCAGGUUUUUCCAGCUGCUGGUGUGCCCAUCAUGUGGAGGAAGGAGCUCUGUGGGAAGUGCAGAAGGACCUGCCACCUAGGGGUUGUCAGCAGGUUGUCUGCACUUGCAUCACUGAGGACUGAUGGCCCACAUUUCCCUUUUCCAAAUAAGCCUGAUGUCAGUGCGGGAGAUUCCAAAGAAACCUCUGGUGUCAGGUUUGAGUCUCUUGCUGGGCCACAUGGGCCACAAGCAAUGUUUGUGCUUGGGGACUGAUUCUCUGAGUGGCUCCCUGGCCAUGGGCCACAUUCCAGCUUGGGGUGGGGGAUAACUGCUUGGCACACUUGUGAAGAGUCAUUCACUAGCCCAUUUACAAGCUUUCUGUGUUGGGGUGACUUCUGAGGGGAAAAGGGUCAUCACCAGUUCAGUUGUUGCUUCUCAGCAGAAGGGGACCCCAAAGGAUCAGCCCUCCAUUGGCUCCUCAUGCCUGCCUCACAUUUAAUAGCACUUAAACAUGAUGAAUGUAGCUUAGCUGUGUUUGUGUGUGUAUUUGGGCCCUUCAAGGGCAGUGACUGUCUCCUCCAUCCGUUGCGAGGGCCUGCCACGUAGUGAAUGCAAACGGGUCUAGGUUUUGUGGUCCUAUUUGGUCUGCUCUGUCCUUGGAUGAAUUGGGCCCUGUUCUUCCACCAUUGAUAUGUCUUACCCCGUGGAAACCUCUUGGGGGUCUCUUGAUGAUCUACUAAAUGCCAUCCUUCCUGAUGGGGCUCCAGCUGCACUCUAGCAAUCAGACCAGUGUGGAGGAAGGCAAGAAGGGCUGAGUUUCUGUUCCCAGUCUUCUGCCACCUUGACCAAAGUCACCUGUUUCUGGGCCUCAGUUCUGCCCUUUCCAGAUCUAACUGGUGAGGAUUCAUUUAUCCCUUUUAUUUUUCCUCCCUACUUAACCUUUCUUCACCACAGUUUAUCUGUAAAAUAAGAAUCCUAACUAUCAUAGUGUUGUUUGGGAAUUAAUUGUUACUAUAUGUAAAGUGCUUAAAGCAUAGAGAGAAUGAUAGAAAUGUAAUUAGUAUUUCACUUAACAGAGUUCUUGUUUUUGAGCACCCUUAAAGGAGUUACUACGAAGUUGAAGACCAAUGAACUCCAUCUGCCCCAGUUGGUGCUAAAGUGACUGGAGGGCAGAAGGGCAGGGAGGUGAGCCCAAGGGGUAGGGCCAAGACCCCCUAGCCAGAGGGCAUCUCUCCUGUGACCCCCAGCAGUGCCUGCCCAUUAUCAUCCCACCUCAGCCCUGUUCUCUGUGACUCCACCUCACCAGCAUGAACCCACUGGUGUCCCCACACAGGUUCUCCCCUAGCACAUGUACACAGGCGGGCACACACACACACACACACACACACACAAUCACUCACACACAUAUAAAUAUAUUUAUACACAGAUGCCUGGAGAUGUGCACAUACCCAGAUGCUGUAUUGUUCUGCUCAUAGACAGCUGUCUAGAGACAGCUCUGUGGAAUGAUACAGACAGGAUGCAUACAGCACAGUUGCAUGGCUUCUGACUCCCUGCUUUCCUAUAGUGCUUAGUCCUUUCCUUCUGGCUCCUAGUCCUUUCCCAACUCUCCUAAAGAAUAAUAGAGCUUUAAACUGGUAAGGGACCUUAGCAACUAUAUAGUUAAAACACUCUAUUUCACUAGUGAAUUCACAGAGGCCCAGAGAGGGGAGGCAACUUGCUAAAAGUCACACAGCCAGGUGUUCCAUUUUCUUCACCAUUCUGCAUCAUUAAUAUUUUGUGUUUGAUUGAUUCACCCUGUUCUCCUGCCUGCGCCUGCCCAGAGGUGGCAAGGUAGAGCUGGAGUGGGAGAUAGAAGGGUCAGAGCUGGAAGGCGAAUGAGAGAGGUAAGUGGGGCAGGUCAUCAAGGCUCAGCCAGGCUGGUGAGACCAGUGAGAUGGGAAGGGAGGGGUUAGUUGACAGAGAAGAGAAGUCCUUCAGGACUGGAAUUGCAGGUGACUUCUGAACUGAGGAGGGCUGGAGGGAUGGGACUGGUGCUUGGGCCUCAGGUCUGGACUCCUGACAGGAACUGCUUCUGAGCUGUGUGGUGUCACAGCAGAGGGACUUUCCCAGGGCUUUGUCCUGUUCAGAAUUCCAUCAGGAGGGUGGCAGGGCCAUGUUAGUUCAAAGGAGAUUGAUUCUAUCCAUUGAAAGAGCCUUUGUCUUUUCAGGACAUUGGUUCUGGCUCUCAAUUUUCUUAAUUAUUUCUAUUGCCCUGGGGAAUGGAGGAUGGACUUAUAUUUCUGCUAUGGUUUUCUGGGCCUGGGACUGGAAGUUUAAGAUUCACCCUUCUGUACAGACCUGUCUUCAGGGACUUGCCUUGGCCCAUAGUGAGGCUGAGGGGCUAACUCCCUACUCCCUCUGGUGCUUGUGAGAUUCUUAUCAGUAUCAAGUGGGGACAGUCACCUGCUUGAAGGCCCUGGAAGACAUAAUGAUUUCUGUCUUGAAAUUUCUGAUCACAGAUAUAAAUGUAAUAAGAUGUAAGUGUGAUCAGUUUAUAGAUAUGCACAAGAGGCUGGCCAUGGCUCUGAGCACUGGGAUUUCUACUUUGUAUUCUGUGAAAGAGUGCUGGUAACAAUGAAUGUGUAGUGUGAUUAUUUUGUGGCAGGCAUUGUCUAAAUACUUUACAUAUAUGAAAUUCCUUAAUCCUCUCAUCAACCAUAUGAGGUAGGUGCUCUUUUGAUCAUUCUUGCUUUAGGGAUGUGGAAACUGAGGCACAGAGAGGUUCAGUAAAUUGUGUAAGGUCGGUCAGCUAGUAAGAAACAGAGCCCAUCUGGACCCAGGUGAUCUGGUUUCAGAUUCUGUGGGCUCACCUCUGUGCACCAUCAUCAUAUGGUUAUGUGCUGUUUUCUGUCUUUGAGGUAAUUUAUCAGCUAUGGCAGGUCUCCAACCCCAAAAGGAUGCCAUUAAAAAAAAAGUAACCAUAUCAAAGGCUUUUUGAAGGUUUAAGUCAUGUUUAUGUGU